GUCAAUCCUCUAUGUAUCCUACUCAAUACAAGCCUAAUUCAUACAAAACUGGUAAGUUUUGCAUUUUAAGGCAAAUUAGGGGUCCUCAAAACUGGAGUUCUAUAAAUCUCAAUUUAUUCCUAUCCUGACUCAAUGUAAGUGUAACACUAACAACUAAUUAAUCCCAACUAGUUUUCAUCGCCUACAUGGAUCUUUUGCUUUAAUUGUGUUCUAUCUUAGCUAUAUCCGUGUCAAUUCCUAGACAUCUACAAGCAGAGACCAGGGAGGUCUACGUAGGACAUCUACAAAUCAUCUCAUGGUCCUUCUUUCAUUUUAUCAUCCAAUUGGGCUACUUGCGCGCUAAUUCUGUUAAGAUCAUUUCUAAUCUUUCUAAUCAUUUCUAAUUUUGUAUAAUUGUACAUCCAUAUUAAAAUACACAUUUCUACUAUA
rnacentral:lncRNA from 1 species